UCCUACGGGAGGCAGCAGUGAGGAAUAUUGGUCAAUGGGCGCGAGCCUGAACCAGCCAAGUCGCGUGAGGGAUGAAGGUUCUAUGGAUCGUAAACCUCUUUUAUAAGGGAAUAAAGUGUGGGACGUGUCCUAUUUUGUAUGUACCUUAUGAAUAAGGAUCGGCUAACUCCGUGCCAGCAGCCGCGGUAAUACGGAGGAUCCGAGCGUUAUCCGGAUUUAUUGGGUUUAAAGGGUGCGUAGGCGGCCUUUUAAGUCAGCGGUGAAAGUCUGUGGCUCAACCAUAGAAUUGCCGUUGAAACUGGGGG
rnacentral:rRNA from 1 species